ensembl:lncRNA Urm1 ubiquitin related modifier 1
GGCAUCACAGAGACACGGUUCCAGGUCAUUGCAUGCACAUACCCACUCAGACACAGAGCUUUCCCACCCAUCCCGACUUGCUAGCGAAGGUCCAGUUCCUUAUAGCAAGUCAUUUCACUUGUGAACAAGGAUGGCUUCUGUGUAAAGGAGGGCCACAAAACUGUGAGACUCUCAUCUGCCCUCAAGCAUGUGGCCCAGGAAGCUGAUUCUCGCAGAGGUGCGGUGCCUUCCCUGAAGUCUGGGCGGCAGGUGGUGCUGACCUUUGCCCAUGCCCUCCAGACCAUGAUCGUCUGACCUGGUUUCCUGACUGUGUACACUGGCUUCUACUUGCUGGGAAAAUGGGAGGAAAGCUUCUCCCACAUUCCUGUACCCCACAGACUGAGCCUCCUCCCUUCUACUCCCUGCAUCCUCACUACCCUCUUCCCCACAGGCGGCCUGGAAUCCUGGUCCUGAUUAAUGAUGCCGACUGGGAACUGCUGGGAGAGCUGGACUACCAGCUGCAGGACCAGGAUAGCAUCCUCUUCAUCUCCACCCUGCAUGGCGGCUGAGGCCUCCUCGAUUAGCCCAAGCACCUUUGCAAGGGGAACACAGGACAACCACAGACCCCUCGGAUGCUUCCAGGUCCUCCGUCCCCCUUGGCUGCCUCCUUCCCUGCUGUACCCCUGAGCUUCCUGUAUGCAGGGAAAAGAGGCCAGGUGCUAAAAAUGAGCCUUUCUGGGCAAGGCGGCACGUGAGCAGGGAGAGAGAGCAGGGAGGGAGAGCAGCCGCCUGAGCCCAGCACUCCUUCCAGCAGCUGAGGUGGGGGAGGGUGCUCCUGUGCUGUGUCAGGAGUGGAGGGGCUCUGUGCCCAGGUGACCCAGCUGCUUGCUGCUACGUCUUGGUGUAUGUAUGCUCUUAGUGGUGGCCUGGAAGGCACUCCAGUUCCCGAGACAUCUUCAUGGGGAAGAUGGAUGGACUGUAGUAACUGAUGAGAGGCUCCUCCCUUGCCAAAGAUUAGAGGGGCCUCCGCCUCAGUUUCCCCAUCUGGACACAGAGAGCUCUGCUUGUCCCCCACUGAUGUCAUUAUGGAACCCCAGCUGGGGUCCCCUAUUCAGUGCUCACCUCCCUCCCCUCCACUCAGCAGCUGCUCUCCUAGCUAUACCCCUCCUCCCGUUCCCCCAUCCCCAGCCCUUGACCCUGGCUGGCCUCCCCCCCCCCCCCCCCCCCACAUAGGCCACCAGAUGGGCUCCUGAGACACUCUCCAGGCUGCCUACAACUCAUUCUGUUGGGGGUAGAAAAUGGAAGGAAGUAGCCUAACUUUAGGCAGAGGGGGGCGGGCCUCAGCAUGUGUAACUCCAGGCUUCCUGAAACAAGCAGGAUUUGGGUGUCCCCCCUUUCCUCCAUCCCUUCUGGAACUCUGGAGACUUCAUGCCUGCAACAGCUGGCCUUGGGCAAAUAAAGAGACUAGGUUGUUUACUAGCCUUGCCUCAUCCUUCGGGUCUGUGGGCUCUUAUUUAAAUUGCCUGUCCUAAGCCAAGGGCUCAGAGGCCUUCACCUGCAAGGUAAAGCAUGCACUGUGCCAAGGAGAGGGUGGGUCAGGAAGACCGUCUGGGUGGGGAAGGGAGUUCGAGCCCGUAGUGACCACCCAGAGCCUAAGCCAGAAAUUCUCAUCAACCAACCCAAAGCUAGGCUUUGUUCUGCCAACUGCAGUCAGUAGUCCCCAACCCAGAAGAGGGGUGGCCUAAGUGAAACUGCUGAGCCUCAUGACUUCCACAACCUGCAAAAAAAGCUUCUGACCCAAAAUGUUGCUAUCCACUAAAUGUCAAUAAGGUGCAAUCCUUCACCUUGCACAGAUGAGAAUGUCUAAUGUUGUGGGCCAAUGUUGAAGCUCUCAUGGCCCCUGCUUGAUGGGCUGUUCCCAGGCACUGCAGCACAACAGACCCUUGGGCUUGUGUGGGUAGGAGCAGCCAGCCAGUGUUGGGUCCCAGUGCAGUUGAGGGUGUGCUGAGGUCAAGCCUUGUCAUAGUUUUCUCACUGUGACAUUUUUAGAGGGUCAGCCUGUCCUGGU